rnacentral:misc_RNA from 1 species
CCAAGUAUUUGAAUUAGUGGCCUGAUUCCAAAUAUAACUUUACAUGCAAGGUCAGGAAUCCUAAUACCUCUCUAUUAGAGUCUCAAACGGACGGAGCCAUAGGUUACAACAUCCUAAUGCUGCAUAGACCAAAAUGAAAUGGCUCAUGUGGAGCAAGCUUACAUGCUCCAUUUACUGUACCAACGCGACCACCAGCACUUUUUUCAUUUUUAGCAUCCGUGUUCUUUUGUUGUAUGUGUGUUUUCUUGGCUUAUAGCGAUCAAUCUGCAUGCCAGAGUCACGCGACAAGAAAAAAGUCUGAUACUAAUUGAAGUAGAAACUGAAUUAUAACAAUAUCUUCAUAGCAGAGCAGUAUGUUCAAUCUCUAAUGUACGAGUUACUGCAUUUCUCUCAUCCUUCUCUGCAUGCCAUCAAAACUGAACUUGGCUUGCGCAACUGUUUAUUUCCGGUGCUGUUUCAGACCCCUGAGGUCCAUAGACAGUGAUGCCAGCGGGAGAUUUCUUGUCUUUUAAUCUUGAUUCCUUUAGAAUUUCUUCCCCGAGCAUUUCUUGGUAUGGAGGGCUGGUCAUGAGCUGAUGAUUCAACACCAAGACAUGAAUUCAGGUGCAGUUUCGUUCUUCGGGCGCUACCUGGUGAAUCUCUGUUUGGAGAAUCCAUUGAAUUGUUUGAAGAGCAGAGGUGCCUGGAAUGCUUUGAUGGGGAAUUUAAAGGUAAGCCUGUACCGGUGAAUGUUUGACUCGUAGAAUGCCUCGAUCCAUCAAUGCUUCUCCGAUGUGGGGAAUUCAAGGGUGAGUCUGCACCACUUGAUGGGUAUCUCGACUUCCGCUUUGGCUUUUCAACCUGGCUUAUAUCUAUUACAGGUAACAAAUAUCAGCAAAUUAAGUGAAACUUUCCCAAAAACUGAUUAGAGGCCAAGUCUGUUCAAUCUAAACAAGCAAACCUGGUGAGGGUGGAAGCAUUGAAAGGUUUCUGGAGAAGAUCGGAAUUCAUUCAUCCAGCUUGGUUUGGAGGCAGAUGGACCAGCCCAUCCAAUAUGAGCAACAAGGAAACCCAAUUUGCAUUUCUGGUUCUUCUAAUCUUAUGAAGCGUUUAAAUCAUCCAUUCCAACACUAGCCUGCAUCAAUGAAUUUGAAUUGGUAAGCAUAAAGCUAGCAUUUAAAAAUCAUGGCAAUAUAAAAUGGGGGAAAAUCUCCACCAUUCUACCAAAUUUUCAGACACUUUUCCCCAGACUUAACCCUCAAAAUUCUGAAUUCAACAUUUUUCAAUUCUUUUGAAGUGAAGCAAAUGCUUUUACACAAGUGGCAAGCAUAACUGACCACUCACUAUAUUUUAUUAACGGAAUAGCAGUGCUAUAAGCUUUAAAUUAGGACUGCAAAAAAGAAAAGCAGAAACGACAAGGUCCACAAGUACUCUACUUGCUAUCCUGUAUUGAACUCUCUCAUGACAUUUUACAGUUGCAGUUAAUUUGAAAUGCCAAAGGCGGAAAUAUGGCUGCUCCUAAGAGAAGCUUGUCUUGAACAACAAAAAGGACACACAAAAGAGAGAAAGCAAGCAAUGAAGUUAUCAGGGAUCAAAGACAAAGUCAUUUGUUUUCUAAAAAAUCUUACCAGGAAAUUGUGAUUCUCUUCGAGAAAAGGUGAAAAGUUUGAACAGAAGUUUUCCAUGUCAUCACCAAUAUCACCUGAGCCAGCUAUCACUUCCAUGAACUUCUUCCUAUCUGAAGCGAGUUUCAUAGCAACAGUGAAACUUGAACUAGCAAGCCAGCCGUGAAAUUUUUUCAGCGUCUUGCCAUAGGAAUCUGUACAGGCUUGUGACAUUGUCCAGUCUGCAUAAGCAAGUAAAUUGCGGAACAGUUCCACUAGGAAAUCCAUUGCUCUGAGGAAUCAUAAAAAGACGAUAAAAUUAUGAGAAAUUGUGAAUACGUAGUGAGGUCUGCUUAAUCAUAGAAGCACAGACAAUUGGCAGCAGUUCACUGAAUUUAACCUAAUUUUUUUUUCUGGCUUGCUAAUUCCAAAAUGUUUCGGGUCAAAACAUUGAAGCUAAAGGCUAGCAUUCUUUUCUUCUUAUCUUGUUCCCUGCUUUUAUGCUUGAGCUUGAUCUAACCUACUUUUCAAGAAUAGAAAAUUACACAAUGAUGAACUCUAUACAAAACAUUUUCUUGUAGUUCAUUGGACUUGAAGGAAUUAAAAACUUAAAGCUCCUAACCAUUUUUCACUCAAUAAAUUUCAUGGCACCAAACAAUAUUUCAAUAUUCUUUUAAAAAUUUUACAUACGGAACAAUUAUAACAUUCACUCCAAACAGCCAACUGAAAUUACACAAAGGGUAGAGGAAAAGUUACAUAUUAGCAACAGAAUGCACCUGGUUAGCCAAAGGAGACCAUUGGUACAACUAGAUGAUCCUUUGGCCGUUUUAGCAUCAAUCUCCUCUUGAACCAUAGUGUACAAGUGGGUGUAUUUAGUUGGAUCGGAAGAAUAUUUGGCUUCCAACCUCGUUAUGUUACCGCCGAUAUCAGAUUUUACAAGGGCCAUAGCAGCUCCAAACUUAUCGAUAACAGGCAAAAUCAAUUUGCAGACAUCCAAGAAAGGCUUGGUGAGCAUUUCUCCUUGCUCAGAUUUCACAUGUUUCAUUCCUUCCAAUGACGGUGUAAACACUGUUCCCUGAACCGCCAUUUUCUACCUUCACUUUAAAGCGAAAUGAUGAACCAGCAGAGAGAAAGAGAGAGAGCGAGAGAGAAAACG